rnacentral:rRNA from 1 species
AGUGAACGCUGGCGGCAGGCCUAACACAUGCAAGUCGAGCGGCAGCGGGUCCUUCGGGAUGCCGGCGAGCGGCGGACGGGUGAGGAAUGCAUCGGAAUCUGCCCUGUCGUGGGGGAUAACCUAGGGAAACUUAGGCUAAUACCGCAUACGACCCACGGGUGAAAGCGGGGGAUCGCAAGACCUCGCGCGAUAGGAUGAGCCGAUGUCCGAUUAGCUAGUUGGCGGGGUAAAGGCCCACCAAGGCGACGAUCGGUAGCUGGUCUGAGAGGAUGAUCAGCCACACUGGGACUGAGACACGGCCCAGACUCCUACGGGAGGCAGCAGUGGGGAAUAUUGGACAAUGGGCGCAAGCCUGAUCCAGCCAUGCCGCGUGGGUGAAGAAGGCCCUCGGGUUGUAAAGCCCUUUUGUCCGGGAAGAAAUCGUCUGGGCUAAUACCCCGGGCGGAUGACGGUACCGGAAGAAUAAGCACCGGCUAACUUCGUG